GAGAGAAGGCCCUUCGCAGACGACUGUCAGGAGUAGUCUGCAAACCACCUGCUGCUGCCGAGGGCGGAAACUCCCCGGUGGUGAACGAGCCAGGAAAAGCGGGGGCUCAAGACUCUCGCAGGU
rnacentral:ncRNA from 1 species